GUACGUGUAUGUAAAUUGUAAAUUGAGGAUGCUUAUUAAGUUAUGUUGCAUUUAAACAAAACAUCAUUAUUAAUAUUAUAUACUGUACAAGUUUAUAAUAGAGUUUCAUUAAGGAAAAUACCUAUCAUAGUAGACGUUCCUUACAAUAACGUCAAACGCGUAAAAACACUAAUGCGAUGUCCCAAGGGACAUAUUAUGAAAUUCAUUGGCUCGCCAACGACUUGAUUGCGAAUCGUCGCUAAAAAUUGUCCCGUGGGAGUGUGGAACAUCGCAUAAACUGGUUGUCCGCGUUUGACGCAAUCUCGUUCCCCGAGCCUGCGAUACUCGGGAAGGAACGCGAGGCUCUGGGGACUGGGAUAAUCCAUUUUAGGGAGGAAUCUGAUUGGUCGUUGAAAUGGAAUGCGCAGUUCAAUCUUAGCCAGGAUUCCUGGCUUCCGGCAACGAAUUAUCCCAGAGCCUCACGUUCCUUCCCGAGGAUCGCGACGCAGGCUCGGGAAACGAGAUUGCGUUUGAUGUCAUUAUAAGAAAGGUCUCAACCUCGUUCCCAGGGUCAUUCUUUCCUUCGCUUCGCUCCGUUCUAAGAAAGACCCUGGGACCGAGGUUGGAAAGGUCUAUUAUGAAACAUUUUACUUUUCACUGAACUGGAAAUAGUCUCAAGCAGAAUCGUCCAAUAUUGAAUGGAAAAGUACAUUUUACUCUGGGCAACCAAAGCGCAAAAUAUAUAAAUCUGCUUCGGAGCGCUACGCUUUCUGAUUGCGCAAUAUUAUUGUUCUGCCAUUUCUUUUAGAAAGCGAUGGCUCCGUGUUGCGCCCAGGCGCGCGCAAGCGAGGGCAUUCACCUGCCAUUAUUUAUUGACUAAAGAACAUGUAUCAGGCUGUCCACCCUUUGGUGAAG